UCUAGGGCUUCACCCCAGGUGUGGGAGGCAACAGAGUCAUGGUGAUGUUUGAGCAGAUGGAGCAAACGGGGCAAGUUGCUCAAGGGUACUGACAGGUACAGUCCUGAGAAUCUGGCCACCCUGGAGCGCUAUGUGGAGACCCAGGCCAAGGAGAAUGCUUACGAUCUGGAAGCCAACCUGGCUAUCCUAAAGCUGUACCAGUUCAAUCCAGCCUUCUUUCAGACCACGGUCACCACCCAGAUCCUGCUGAAGGCCCUCACCAACCUGCCCCACAUCAACUUCAUGCUGUGCAAGUGUAUGAUGGACCAGGCACACCAUGAAGAACGGCUGAUCUGGCAGAUUUUGUACCUCGGAGACCUGUUGGAGACCUGCCACUUCCAAGCCUUCUGGCAAGCCCUGGAUGAAAAUAUGGACCUCUUGGAAGAUAUAACUGGCUUUGAAGACUUUGUCCAGAAAUUUAUCUGCCACAUGGUGAUCAUCACUUAUCAGCACAUUGAUCGCUGGCUGCUGGCCGAGAUGCCUGGGGAUCUGACACAGCCAGCUGAAGUGUGGAUGAGCAAGUACAGCUGGAGCGCUGACAAGUCGGGCCAGAUCUUCAUCUGUAGCCAGGAAGAGCGCAUUAAGCCCAAGAACAUCAUGGAGAAGAUCGACUUUGACAGUGUGUCUAGCAUCAUGGCCUUAUCCCAGUAACCUUGGAGGCAUUUAAUAAACAUUUGUUGACUUC